CAGACCCCCGCUGCAAGGACCCUUUCAACUACACUGCCCUGCCACGUGAUCAACCUCCACUCAUGACUUGCAAUGGCUGUUGUGUUAAGAUGGUCCGCAAUGCACGAUCAAUGACUUGCAGUUCACCAACACUGGACAAAAUCUUCUAGCUGGCUGUAUAGGAGUAAAGGUGCCAGCCCAAACACUGAGACCACCUUAGAAGGAAAGAAAGAGAUAUGCAAAAGAAAGGAAGAGGACAUCUGAAAAAUAGCAGUGGCACUUUUGAAGGUUGCAGGAAGUCUGGGAGCAAAGAAAAUUACAAACAUUGAAGCAAAACCAAAGUUGUUUUAUUGUGCCACCCAAAAGGGUUAUUGGAAUAAAUAAAUGCAAGAAACGCAAUUAAGUUGCCUACCGACUGAGUGAUGAAACUACUACAUAUGUACAUGGUCUAUAUCUACAUCUGCAUCUACGUACAGCUACAUACAUAAUCUAUAAACCACAU